CCAAAUCUUCAGUGUCCUGCAGUGCCAAAUCAGAAAUUUCUGGAGGAAUGGCCCAGGGUUACAGCCCUGCUGCUUUGGCGCCCCUCAGUCAGUUGUAGGAAUAUUGCAGCCUCGUGUCUGACCGGCAUGGAUAGAAGUAAUGUCAGCAGGUCUGUAGCUCAGACCACCAAGGAACUGGGAAAUAAACUCCAGGCAUCUAUGCAGACCGUUGGGUGUAGGGAGAAUGAAGAUCGCUUGUGACUCCCUUUCCUAGCAGAACAUGAAACAAGAGCGCCCCAGGCAGGCAAGUUGGACUUCAUUAAUUUAUCUAUUUAUUUAUUUAAAGCAAU
rnacentral:lncRNA from 1 species